UUGAACGCUGGCGGAAUGCUUUACACAUGCAAGUCGAGCGGCAGCGCGGGGCAACCUGGCGGCGAGCGGCGAACGGGUGAGUAACACAUCGGAACGUACCCAAUCGUGGGGGAUAACACAUCGAAAGAUGUGCUAAUACCGCAUAAGUCCUGAGGGAGGAAGCGGGGGAUCAGCAAUGACCUCGCGCGGAUGGAGCGGCCGAUGUCGGAUUAGCUAGUUGGUGGGGUAAAGGCCUACCAAGGCGACGAUCCGUAGCGGGUCUGAGAGGACGGCCCGCCACACUGGAACUGAGACACGGUCCAGACUCCUACGGGAGGCAGCAGUGGGGAAUUUUGGACAAUGGGGGAAACCCUGAUCCAGCCAUUCCGCGUGAGUGAAGAAGGCCUUCGGGUUGUAAAGCUCUUUCAGCCGGAACGAAACGGUACGCUCUAACAUAGCGUGCUAAUGACGGUACCGGCAGAAGAAGCACCGGCUAACUACGU
rnacentral:rRNA from 1 species